CCUACGGGGGGCAGCUGUGAGGAAUAUUGGUCAAUGGACGAGAGUCUGAACCAGCCAAGUAGCGUGAAGGAUGACUGCCCUAUGGGUUGUAAACUUCUUUUAUAUGGGAAUAAAAUGUUCCACGUGUGGGAUUUUGUAUGUACCAUAUCAUUAAGGAUCGUCUAACUCCGUGCCAGCAGCCGCGGUAAUACGGAGGAUCCGAGCGUUAUCCGGAUUUAUUGGGUUUAAAGGGAGCGUAGGUGGAUUGUUAAGUCAGUUGGGAAAGUUUGCGGCUCAACCGUAAAAUUGCAGUUGAAACUGGCAGUCUUGAGUACAGUAGAGGUGGGCGGAAUUCGAGGUGUAGCGGUGAAAUGCUUAGAUAUCACGAAGAACUCCGAUUGCGAAGGCAGUUCACUGGACUGCAACUGACACUGAGGCUCGAAAGUGUGGGUAUCAAACAGGAUUAGAUACCCCUGUAGUC
rnacentral:rRNA from 1 species